GCCAGCGUGGCAAAGUGGUUCAGGAGCUGGAUUAGGGCUCUAGAGGCCAGGGUUCGAAUCCCAGCUCGGCCU